UUUUCUCCAAUUGGUAGAUUUAUGUGUCAAUCAAACCAUAUUCGUGGAACAAGGAGGCCGGGUAAAUUUAUUUGGAUGGUGCAAUACACAUCCCGGACAAAAUUCAAUUAAGUAAACAUUGGGAGAACUUGACUAGCUGGCAGGAUGGAUGGAUGAACUGGAUGAAAGACACUCACUUCUAUAAUUGCAUGCCUCAUCAUUACACAGCAAGGCUUGGAAAAAGUGAUUAUGGAGAAAGACUAGAACAGAAAGCAUUGUGUCAGGCAAACAUCUAACCUAUGAUGACAGGAAAAGAUCCCAUCCAGGUCUGUUCAAUCAUCCAGAAGAAAAUUAAGAAAUCUUGAAGACAACAACAUGAAAAUGGACCCUGCACUGCUUAUGUCUGUUAACGUUGUAAUUAGUAUAAGAAAUAAACUAUAAUAAUAUUACAGAUCUAGAAAAAAAUGUGUUUGCGCAUUACAUUGUAAGAAGCUGUUAUAAAAUAAACACUGUCCAUUUAAUUUA